rnacentral:rRNA from 1 species
GACGGAGGAUGCAAGCGUUAUCCGGAAUUAUUGGGCGUAAAGCGUCCGCAGGUGGCUGUUCAAGUCUGCUGUCAAAGCGCAGAGCUUAACUCUGUACAGGCGGUGGAAACUGAAGAGCUAGAGUAUGGUAGGGGUAGAGGGAAUUCCCGGUGUAGCGGUGAAAUGCGUAGAUAUCGGGAAGAACAUCGGUGGCGAAAGCGCUCUACUGGACGGUAUCUGACACUGAGGGACGAAAGCUAGGGGAGCGAAUGGG